UACGUAGGGUGCAAGCGUUAAUCGGAAUUACUGGGCGUAAAGCGUGCGCAGGCGGUUUUAUAAGUCUGUCGUGAAAUCCCCGGGCUUAACCUGGGAAUGGCGAUGGAGACUGUAAGGCUAGAGUGCGGCAGAGGAGACUGGAAUUCCUGGUGUAGCAGUGAAAUGCGCAGAUAUCAGGAGGAACACCGAUGGCGAAGGCAGGUCUCUGGGCUGACACUGACGCUCAUGCACGAAAGCGUGGGGAGCAAACAGG
rnacentral:rRNA from 1 species